rnacentral:lncRNA from 1 species
CCAGGAUCGCGAGCGUGAAGGAGACUCGACCGACCACCCUGGUGGCCAACGUCCUGGUGGGGUUGUCCCUCCUGCUGCUGCCCUUCCCGCUGCAGUGGAUCCCAAAGCCCGCGCUCUACGGUCCGUUCCUCCAUAUCGCCCUCACCUUGAUCGACGGCAACCUUGAUCACCCUUCUGCUCAAGAAACAGGCGCCCUGGCCUCUCCCGCCCCCAUUUCCCGGUCCCCUGCCCUGGCCUUGUCGGGGGGUGGAGGGGGACGCCGACCUCAAUCCCCCUGAGCCCCCGGGGCCGGGCUGAGGUCCGGUAAGCCCGACCCGCGCCCACCCGGUGUCCCCUCGCGCUCUCUCUCCGCAGACGGCCUACCCCCAGACCCAUUACAUCCGGCGGGUGCCCCAGCGAACCGUCCACUACUUCACCGGGCUGCAGGUGCCCCAGCUGCUGCUCCUCUGUGCGUUUGGCAUGUCUCACCUGCCCUACAUGAAGAUGAUCUUCCACCUCAUCGUGAUGGCCAUGAUCCCCUUCAGGUGCCCGCCCCCCCUCUUUCACCUUCCCGGGGCACCCUCCGAUCUCUCCCCGGGGUUGGGGGAGGCGGCCUCUGGGCCUUUCUCUUUCAGUCAGUCAUUUAUUCAGUCUUAUUUAUUGAGCACUUAUUAUGUGCAGGGCACUGCAUAAAGCGCUUUGGAGAGUCCAAUGCAACAAUAAACAGACACAUUCCCAGCUCACAACGAACUUACAGUCUAGAGACCGCGUGGGAAACGUAAGCCGCUCCGCACACAAGUCGCUGCCGAGAAACCCCAAAUUCCUCGAUUGUCUAAGGAAAGAACAGAGCCCGCAGAAACCAACCAUGAACGAUUUCUACAGCUGCCCUGCAUUCGGAGCCCCCUUCCCGAGUCCUGCCGGGGUUCUCGUUCCGGCGGUGCCACCUGUCUGCUGUGUGACCUUGGGUAAGUCACUGUACUUCUCUGUGCCUCGGUUGCCUCAUCUGUAAAAUGGGGAUUGACUGUGAGUCCCAUGGGGGACAGGGAUUGUGUGA